GUCAGGAUGGCCGAGUGGUCUAAGGCGCCAAAACACGUGGAUUGUCCUCGUGAGAGGGCGUGGGUUCAAAUCCCACUUCUGACA
rnacentral:tRNA from 1 species